CACGUAGGGGGCAAGCGUUGUCCGGAUUUAUUGGGCGUAAAGAGCUCGUAGGCGGUUCGGUAAGUCGGGUGUGAAACCUCCAGGCUCAACCUGGAGUCGCCACUCGAUACUGCUGUGACUAGAGUCCGGUAGGGGAGCGUGGAAUUCCUGGUGUAGCGGUGAAAUGCGCAGAUAUCAGGAGGAACACCAAUGGCGAAGGCAGAUCUCUGGGCCGUAACUGACGCUGAGGAGCGAAAGCAUGGGGAGCGAACAGG
rnacentral:rRNA from 1 species